CUUUUAAAGAUUAGUGUCUGCUUGCAGAACUUGCAUACAGGUGCUGCACGGCUGUCGUCAGCUCGUGUCGUGAGAUGUUGGGUUAAGUCCCGCAACGAGCGCAACCCUCGUCCUUAGUUGCUAACAGUUCGGCUGAGAACUCUAAGGAGACUGCCUACGCAAGUAGGAGGAAGGUGAGGAUGACGUCAAGUCAUCAUGGCCCUUACGUCCAGGGCUACACACGUGCUACAAUGGGGUAUACAAAGAGCAGCAAUACGGUGACGUGGAGCAAAUCUCAAAAAUGCCUCCCAGUUCGGAUUGUAGUCUGCAACUCGACUACAUGAAGUUGGAAUCGCUAGUAAUCGUAGAUCAGCUAUGCUACGGUGAAUACGAA
rnacentral:rRNA from 1 species